CUUUAAAAACUAUAAAGUCCGCUAUCAGCUACCUUGAAGACUAGGCUCAAGGUAUUCAAUAGUGGACUUUACCUCUGAAAUGUCCUACACUAGCUUUAGCUUUGCCGGUGCCAAGCCCUGUGCCAGCUUUCCAAAUAUUUUUGCAAAGGUAGAGAGGAUAUGCACACACUAUCCGGGGAGUACUCCCAUUGGGGUGCUCCAGAUAGGCAGGGCCACAAACCCAGGAAAGAUGAAAUAGAAAAAUGUAGAUCAGAGCACACCUGGUGGCUUCUUCAGUAGGCAGCUUUUAUCUAAAGUGCAGAGCAAAAACAACAUUUCAGCUCCUUAGGGCC